GAUGAACGCUGGCGGCGUGCCUAAUACAUGCAAGUCGAGCGAACAGACGAGGAGCUUGCUCCUCUGACGUUAGCGGCGGACGGGUGAGUAACACGUGGAUAACCUACCUAUAAGACUGGGAUAACUUCGGGAAGCCGGAGCUAAUACCGGAUAAUAUAUUUAACCGCAUGGUUCAAUAGUGAAAGACGGUUUUGCUGUCACUUAUAGAUGGAUCCGCGCCGCAUUAGCUAGUUGGUAAGGUAACGGCUUACCAAGGCGACGAUGCGUAGCCGACCUGAGAGGGUGAUCGGCCACACUGGAACUGAGACACGGUCCAGACGCCUACGAGAGGCAGCAGUAGGGAAUCUGCCGCAAUAGGCGAAAGCCUGACGGAGCAACGCCGCGUGAGAGAUGGAGGUCUUCGGAUCGUAAAACUCUGUUAUUAGGGAAGAACAAAUGUGUAAGUAACUAUGCACGUCUUGACGGUACCUAAUCAGAAAGCCACGGCUAACUACGUG
rnacentral:rRNA from 1 species